CAACACAUUUGUUUACUCUUAACUUAUGUGAAAUGUCCACCAUACAAUUCCAUGUGAAAUUUGUUCACAUAAGCGCAAUACUAUUGCAUGUAGCACCUUCUGACCAAUCAGAUGUGAGAAUUCAGCACUGCUGUGGUAUAAAUGACGCAUGAUACCCUCUUCUAUGUUCCUCUUUCAGUGUUCUCUUCAAUCUUCUACAGGCUUCACUCGCAGAUAAAACUGUUGGAAUACAUAUCAUGUUCUAUUGAGAAUUCAUUUAAGUACAGGGUACCAACGUUGUGCACAAAACUGUGAUCAUAUUCUAUGGCUACAAUUUGAUUUUCAGUCAGUUAUUUUCCUCUGUGUCAUCAGUGGUGUUGGUCCUAAACUCUGGAACAGUCUCCUUUUCCAGGACAUAAAGAAGCAGAAGAGAGAACAAGCCAUGUCCAUACUCAACUGUCGCAACCGUUACUUUCCACCAUGGGGGUAUAAAAGCACCUUACAAAACCGUCUGAUCAUCUUCCUCACUACUGGUUUUUGGGUGGGUUUUCUAGCUCUGCUUUUGGCUCUCAGUGUUCUGUACCACCAUCAUAAGAGCAGAGGUCGAAUCUCAUUCAUCGCUAUCUUCCUUCUACUCAGUGACCUGCUGGAGCUGAUUCUGAGUCCAGUCCUUGUAACAUACAUUUUCAAUGGAAAUGCAGGUUGGAUGAACCCUGUUAUCACCCUGUUAUUUGGAGCUAGGCUCUGUGGGCAUUUGCUUCACCAGGUGGUGGCAUUAGAAAGCAUUGUUACUGUGAAAUAUCCAUCACUUGCUGUUAUUUUCUCCAAUUCCUGCUCUAUUACCUUCUGCAUGUUUGUGUGGCUGCUAGCAGUUGGGUGCCAGUUCAACCAAAGCGACUUUAUUUUUGUAAUAAAUAUGUGUUUAUCUGUGUCACCUGUAACUACAUGUGCAGCAUGUAUAGUAACAUUUAAAGCCCCUCUUGACACCACCCAAGCCACAGCCAGGAAACCAGGAGUGUUAGUGCUAAGUGUUGCCAUGUUUACUCUGAUCAUUUUAUAUGUGCCAUUUUUCCUGGAUUGUUUUUUGGAACACCUUUUAUGUUGGACUGUCUAGUAAGUAUGAGACUGAUUUCAGAGCCCCUUCUGUGUAUUCUUAUCUGCAGGGAAAAUCGAAACUAAAUCGAAAACCAAACAAUUUUUCUGCAGCACAAUA